GACGAACGCUGGCGGCGUGCUUAACACAUGCAAGUCGAACGGAAAGGCCCUGCUUGCAGGGUACUCGAGUGGCGAACGGGUGAGUAACACGUGGGUGAUUUGCCCUGCACUUCGGGAUAAGCCUGGGAAACUGGGGCUAAUACCGGACAGGAGCCAUUUUUAGUGUGAUGGUUGGAAAGUUGUUUCGGUGUAGGAUGAGCUCGCGGCCUAUCCGCUUGUUGGUGGGGUAAUGGCCUACCAAGGCGGCGACGGGUAGCCGGCCUGAGAGGGUGGACGGCCACAUUGGGACUGAGGUACGGCCCAGACUCCUACGUGAGGCAGCAGUGGGGAAUAUUGCACAAUGGGCGCAAGCCUGAUGCAGCGACGCCGCGUGGGGGAUGACGGCCUUCGGGUUGUAAACUGCUUUCGCUAGGGACGAAGCUUUUGUGACGGUACCUUGAUAAGAAGCACCGGCUAACUACGUG
rnacentral:rRNA from 1 species